rnacentral:rRNA from 1 species
UACGUAGGGUGCGAGCGUUAAUCGGAAUUACUGGGCGUAAAGCGUGCGCAGGCGGCGCGUUAAGACAGGUGUGAAAGCCCCCGAGCUUAACUUGGGAAUUGCGCUUGUGACUGGCGUGCUGGAGUGUGGCAGAGGGAGGUGGAAUUCCACGUGUAGCAGUGAAAUGCGUAGAGAUGUGGAGGAACACCGAUGGCGAAGGCAGCCUCCUGGGCCAGCACUGACGCUCAUGCACGAAAGCGUGGGGAGCA